rnacentral:rRNA from 1 species
GACGAACGCUGGCGGCGUGCUUAACACAUGCAAGUCGAACGGAAAGGCCCUGCUUUUGUGGGGUGCUCGAGUGGCGAACGGGUGAGUAACACGUGAGUAACCUGCCCUUGACUUUGGGAUAACUUCAGGAAACUGGGGCUAAUACCGGAUAGGAGCUCCUGCUGCAUGGUGGGGGUUGGAAAGUUUCGGCGGUUGGGGAUGGACUCGCGGCUUAUCAGCUUGUUGGUGGGGUAGUGGCUUACCAAGGCUUUGACGGGUAGCCGGCCUGAGAGGGUGACCGGCCAAAUGGGGACUGAGAUACGGCCCAGACUCCUACGGGAGGAAGCAGUGGGGAAUAUUGCACAAUGGGCGGAAGCCUGAUGCAGCAACGCCGCGUGCGGGAUGACGGCCUUCGGGUUGUAAACCGCUUUCGCCUGUGACGAAGCGUGGGUGACGGUAAUGGGUAAAGAAGCACCGGCUAACUACGU